GUAAGCUACUAAGAGCGAAUGGUGGAUGCCUUGACUGGUAAAGGCGAUGAAGGACGUACUAGACUGCGAUAAGCUACGGGGAGCUGUCAAGAAGCUUUGAUCCGUAGAUUUCCGAAUGGGGCAACCCAAUGUAUAGAGAUAUACAUUACCUAUAUAGGAGCGAACGAGGGGAAUUGAAACAUCUUAGUACCCUCAGGAAAAGAAAUCAAUAGAGAUUGCGUCAGUAGCGGCGAGCGAAAGCGCAAGAGGGCAAACCCAGUGCUUGCACUGGGGGUUGUAGGACUGCAAUGUGCAAGAGGUGAGUUUAGCAGAACAUUCUGGAAAGUAUAGCCAUAGAGGGUGAUAGUCCCGUAUGCGAAAAACAAACCUUAGCUAGCAGUAUCCUGAGUAGGGCGGGACACGAGAAAUCCUGUCUGAAGCUGGGUCGACCACGAUCCAACCCUAAAUACUAAUACCAGAUCGAUAGUGCACAAGUACCGUGAGGGAAAGGUGAAAAGAACUGAGGUGAUCAGAGUGAAAUAGAACCUGAAACCAUUUGCUUACAAUCAUUCAGAGCACUAUGUAGCAAUACAGUGUGAUGGACUGCCUUUUGCAUAAUGAGCCUGCGAGUUGUGGUGUCUGGCAAGGUUAAGCAAACGCGAAGCCGUAGCGAAAGCGAGUCUGAAUAGGGCGCUUAGUCAGAUGCUGCAGACCCGAAACGAAGUGAUCUAUCCAUGAGCAAGUUGAAGCUAGUGUAAGAACUAGUGGAGGACUGAACCCAUAGGCGUUGAAAAGCCCCGGGAUGACUUGUGGAUAGGGGUGAAAGGCCAAUCAAACUUCGUGAUAGCUGGUUCUCUCCGAAAUAUAUUUAGGUAUAGCGUUGUGUCGUAAUAUAAGGGGGUAGAGCACUGAAUGGGCUAGGGCAUACACCAAUGUACCAAACCCUAUCAAACUCCGAAUACCUUAUAUGUAAUCACAGCAGUCAGGCGGCGAGUGAUAAAAUCCGUCGUCAAGAGGGAAACAACCCAGACUACCAGCUAAGGUCCCUAAAUCUUACUUAAGUGGAAAACGAUGUGAAGUUACUUAAACAACCAGGAGGUUGGCUUAGAAGCAGCCAUCCUUUAAAGAAAGCGUAAUAGCUCACUGGUCUAGUGAUUUUGCGCGGAAAAUAUAACGGGGCUAAAGUAAGUACCGAAGCUGUAGACUUGAUUUUAUCAAGUGGUAGGAGAGCGUUCUAUUUGCGUCGAAGGUAUACCGGUAAGGAGUGCUGGAGCGAAUAGAAGUGAGCAUGCAGGCAUGAGUAGCGAUAAUUAAUGUGAGAAUCAUUAACGCCGUAAACCCAAGGUUUCCUACGCGAUGCUCGUCAUCGUAGGGUUAGUCGGGUCCUAAGUCGAGUCCGAAAGGGGUAGACGAUGGCAAAUUGGUUAAUAUUCCAAUACCAACAUUAGUGUGCGAUGGAAGGACGCUUAGGGCUAAGGGGGCUAGCGGAUGGAAGUGCUAGUCUAAGGUCGUAGGAGGUUAUACAGGCAAAUCCGUAUAACAAUACUCCGAGAACUGAAAGGCUUUUUGAAGUCUUCGGAUGGAUAGAAGAACCCCUGAUGCCGUCGAGCCAAGAAAAGUUUCUAAGUUUAGCUAAUGUUGCCCGUACCGUAAACCGACACAGGUGGGUGGGAUGAGUAUUCUAAGGCGCGUGGAAGAACUCUCUUUAAGGAACUCUGCAAAAUAGCACCGUAUCUUCGGUAUAAGGUGUGGUUCGCUUCGUAUUAGGAUUUACUCCGAAAGCGAAGAAACUUACAACAAAGAGUCCCUCCCGACUGUUUACUAAAAACACAGCACUCUGCUAACUCGUAAGAGGAUGUAUAGGGUGUGACGCCUGCCCGGUGCUCGAAGGUUAAUUGAUGGGGUUAGCAUUAGCGAAGCUCUUGAUCGAAGCCCGAGUAAACGGCGGCCGUAACUAUAACGGUCCUAAGGUAGCGAAAUUCCUUGUCGGUUAAAUACCGACCUGCAUGAAUGGCGUAACGAGAUGGGAGCUGUCUCAAAGAGGGAUCCAGUGAAAUUGUAGUGGAGGUGAAAAUUCCUCCUACCCGCGGCAAGACGGAGAGACCCCGUGGACCUUUACUACAGCUUGACACUGCUAUUUGGAUAAGAAUGUGCAGGAUAGGUGGGAGGCUUUGAGUAUAUGACGCCAGUUGUAUAUGAGCCAUUGUUGAGAUACCACUCUUUCUUAUUUGGGUAGCUAACCAGCUUGAGUUAUCCUCAAGUGGGACAAUGUCUGGUGGGUAGUUUGACUGGGGCGGUCGCCUCCCAAAUAAUAACGGAGGCUUACAAAGGUUGGCUCAGAACGGUUGGAAAUCGUUCGUAGAGUAUAAAGGUAUAAGCCAGCUUAACUGCAAGACAUACAAGUCAAGCAGAGACGAAAGUCGGUCUUAGUGAUCCGGUGGUUCUGUGUGGAAGGGCCAUCGCUCAAAGGAUAAAAGGUACCCCGGGGAUAACAGGCUGAUCUCCCCCAAGAGCUCACAUCGACGGGGAGGUUUGGCACCUCGAUGUCGGCUCAUCGCAUCCUGGGGCUGGAGCAGGUCCCAAGGGUAUGGCUGUUCGCCAUUUAAAGCGGUACGCGAGCUGGGUUUAGAACGUCGUGAGACAGUUCGGUCCCUAUCUGCCGUGGGCGUAAGAAGAUUGAAGAGAUUUGACCCUAGUACGAGAGGACCGGGUUGAACAAACCACUGGUGUAGCUGUUGUUCUGCCAAGAGCAUCGCAGCGUAGCUAAGUUUGGAAAGGAUAAACGCUGAAAGCAUCUAAGCGUGAAGCCAACUCUAAGAUGAAUCUUCUCUAAGCUCUCUAGAAGACUACUAGUUUGAUAGGCUGGGUGUGUAAUGGAUGAAAGUCCUUUAGCUGACCAGUACUAAUAGAGCGUUUGGCUUAUCUUU
rnacentral:rRNA from 1 species